AGUGAACGCUGGCGGUAGGCCUAACACAUGCAAGUCGAACGGCAGCACAGUAAGAGCUUGCUCUUACGGGUGGCGAGUGGCGGACGGGUGAGGAAUACAUCGGAAUCUACUUUUUCGUGGGGGAUAACGUAGGGAAACUUACGCUAAUACCGCAUACGACCUACGGGUGAAAGCAGGGGAUCUUCGGACCUUGCGCGAUUGAAUGAGCCGAUGUCGGAUUAGCUAGUUGGCGGGGUAAAGGCCCACCAAGGCGACGAUCCGUAGCUGGUCUGAGAGGAUGAUCAGCCACACUGUAACUGAGACACGGUCCAGACUCCUACGGGAGGCAGCAGUGGGGAAUAUUGGCCAAUGGGCGCAAGCCUGAUCCAGCCAUACCGCGUGGGUGAAGAAGGCCUUCGGGUUGUGAAGCCCUUUUGUUGGGAAAGAAAAGCAGCAGGUUAAUACCCCGCUGUUCUGACGGUACCCAAAGAAUAAGCACCGGCUAACUUCGUG
rnacentral:rRNA from 1 species